rnacentral:rRNA from 1 species
GACGGGGCCCGCACAAGCGGUGGAGCAUGUGGUUUAAUUCGACGCAACGCGAAGAACCUUACCUAGGUUUGACAUCCCGGGGAGUCUCUUGAAAGGGAGAUGUGCCCUUCGGGGAGCCCGGAGACAGGUGCUGCAUGGCUGUCGUCAGCUCGUGUCGUGAGAUGUUGGGUUAAGUCCCGCAACGAGCGCAACCCUUAUCUUUAGUUACCAGCACUUCGGGUGGGGACUCUAGAGAUACUGCCCCGGUCAACGGGAGGAAGGUGGGGAUGACGUCAAGUCCUCAUGGCCUUUAUGUCCAGGGCUACACACGUGCUACAAUGGGUUGUACAAAGGGUUGCGAACUCGCGAGAGUAAGCCAAUCCCAAAAAGCAACUCUUAGUUCGGAUUGGAGUCUGCAACUCGACUCCAUGAAGCUGGAAUCGCUAGUAAUCGUGGAUCAGCAUGCCACGGUGAAUACGUUCCCGGGCCUU